GUCCUGUAUCUAGAAGAGUCCUUGAUUAUUUUGCUUAGUUUCCUUGUCCUUUUGUUUAAAAAUUCAGGUGCGCGUGAAGCUCAUUCAAAGCGUGCGGGAAGCCCACUAGAGUCAUGAGAGUCCUAUUUUACUUUGUUUGUUUGACUCAUUCAAAGAUUGAGUGUUAGUGAGUCCUUGUAUAAAGGAGUUUGAUUUAUCUCAAACUCCUAAUCUACAGCGGAUAAGAGCUGGUUGUUUGUGUUUGUUUCCAACCUCCUACACUAUAAAAGAAGGGAUGAUGAAUAAAUCGGCAGAAUAGAGAUUUUUAGAGAGAAAAAAGUUUAGAAUUGAAUCAUUUUUCUGAAGUGCGGCGCUUCUUUUUCUUGGUGAGAUGCUAAGUUAAAUAGAGAGGUUGAGUGAAGGUGGGACUUCUUCACCCACUCUCAUGCCAAGUUAUUUGAGAGUUUGAGUGAUGGUGGGACUCCUUCACCCAUUCUUACGCCAUCUUAUUUGAGAGUCUUAGUGAAGAUAGGACUCCUUCCAUCUCCACGCCAUCCUAACUAUUUUCAUUCUCACGCCACAUAUUAGAGAGUUUGAGUGCCAUUAGGUCUCUUCUUCUUCUAACCACGCCUCAUCUAGUUUAGUCAAACCACAUCAAGUCUAAUUGCAACUCAUUCAACCUAUCUACACUCGGCCACACCCAAUCUACACUCGGCCACACCCAAUCUAGCCACAUCCUCACCCAAAUUAACAGCGCUCUCCGCUCGUCCCUACCCAAGCAAUCUGCCCCAAAGAGUGAAAAAAAAGAGAGUUGUCAUCGUCUUCUCCACCAUUAUCCUCCUAAUUCCCGACCCCUGCAUCAAUUUUGGUAUUAGAGCGGUGGUGUCGUGGGAGCUGCUGUCAUUAUGAGUACGAGGAGUGGCCGUAAUUACAACAAUGGUUGUCCAUCACCACAUCAACGAGAUGAGUUGCUGACUUGAGUCAGAGGAUGGAUGCUGUUUGGGAGCAUGUUUUCCGGCAGGAUGGAUGCUGUUUGGGAGCAUGUUUUCCCAGAGCCGGAAAACAUGGAAGAUGAACCUGGUAGUCCUGACAAUUCAAAAAAAUUAGGAGGUAAAACUUGAAGUAUCCAACUUGCCAGUAUGUGUUGCUCGUAGGGUCCUGUUCGGCCAUAAGCAAGGCGAAGACAUGGAAGAGGACUGGCUGCGCACAAACAUCUUCCAUACCCGGGUUUAAUACCAAAACAAAGCGUGGAAUCUCAUCAUUGAUAUUGGGAGUUGGAUGAACAUAGUUUUCCUCGAGUUGGUGGAUAAGAUGAAGCUGAAACCUGAGCCCCAUCCCAAGCCAUACCGGGUGAAUUGGAUUGAUGAUACCUCUAUUCAUGUGAAGCAAAGGUGCCUAGUCCAUUUUUCGUUGGGCAAGGACUUCCGGAGACCAUGUGGUGCGAUAUUCUACCCAUGAAGGUAUGCCACAUCCUGAUAGGAAGACCAUGGCUGUUUGAUCGACGGGUAAAGUAUGAUGGGUAUUCCAAUUGCUAUUCUCUUAUGCAUGGCAAAAAAAUAGUUUUGAAGCCGCUGCAGAUUGCUGAUUUCAAACCAGAAAAUCCAGCACUCUAAAGGGCGCUAUCCAUGAGGCGGUUUGAGGAGGUAAGCCAUGAAGUUGGGGUUAUGUUCGCAUUGGUUGCUAGGGAAGUUGAUUAUGAAAAUACAGAGGAGAUACCAUCAGAUUUUAGGGCUAUUCUGGAGGAUUUUUCUGAUGUCAUUCCUGAAAAAUUGCCAUAGAAACUUCCGCCAGUGCGUGACUGUGACAUCCAGCAUGCAAUUGAUCUUGUCGCAGAACCUAGUCUACCCAAUCUACCGCAUAUCGGUUGAAUCCCAAGGAGCAUGAGGAGCUAUGCCGGCAAGUACAAGAGUUAUUGGAUAAGGGUUUCAUCAAGGAGAGCCUCAGCCCCUGCGCAGUCCCAGCAUUGCUCACCCCCAAGAAGGACGGUACUUGGCGUAUGUGCAUCGACAGUAGGGCUAUUAACAAAAUUACUGUUAAGUGUCGCUUCCCUAUUCCUAGUGUAGAUGAUAUGUUCGAUUUGCUGCAUGAUUGUUCAAUUUUUUCGAAGUUAGAUUUGCGAAGUAGAUACCAUCAGAUUUGGAUCAGACCUGGGGACGAAUGGAAGACAACAUUCAUGACAAAAGAUGGAUCUACGAGUGGUUGGUCAUGCCAUUCGGGCUGACCAAUGCGCCAAGCACAUUCAUGAGAGUCAUGACUCAAAUAUUGAAGCCAUUCGUAGGGGAGUUCAUGGUGAUUUAUUUUGAUGAUAUUCUGAUUUUUAGUAGAAGCCGAGAGGAACACAAGGAGCAUCUUCGACAAGUCCUACGAGUUCUAUGUUCGUAGAAGUUCUACAUUAAUUUGAAGAAGUGUUCAUUUGCUAAUUCACGGGUUCCUUCUUGGGUUUUAUUAUUUCUAAUCAAGGUGUUGAAGCGGAUUCGAAGAAGAUUCGAGCCAUACGAGAUUGGCCAAUUGCUAGCAACAUGCAUGAAGCAAGGAGUUUCCACGGGUUAGCCACUUUUUAUCGCAGAUUCAUCCGCAAUUUCAGUUCAAUUAUGGCGCCAUUCAUGAGCUAUAUGAAGGCAGGGUUGUUUCAGUGGAUAGUCGCGGCUACCAAGAUGUUUCUUUGGCUUUCCAACUUUGAACAAGUCUUUGAAGUCUCUUGUAAUGCUUCUCACGUUGGCAUUAGAGGAGUUCUAAGUUAGGAAGGACAUCUUGUGGCUUUCUUCAGCGAAAAGCUUAAUGGGGCAAAGAAGAAUUAUUCAAUCUAUGAUGUUGAGUUUUAUGCUGUUGUCCAAACUCUUAAAAAUUGGAAGCAUUAUCUACUUCAUCGGAAAUUUGUGCUAUAUAUAGAUCAUAAUUCUUUGAAGUACAUAAACUUUCAAAAGAAGCUCAACGCACGGCAUGCCAAAUUGGGUGGAUGUAUUGCAGCAAUUUAACUUUGUCUUGAAGCAUCAAUCUGGCGUGGAGAACCGAGUGACAGAUGCAUUGAGCCGGAAGUCUCAUCUAUUAUCUGUUCUGAAUGCAAAGGUUGCUGGUUUUGAGGAGCUGAAACUUUUAUAUUCCUCAGAUCCUUAUUUCAAACCGAUAUAUUCGGAUUUAUUUGCGGGAGAUAGGAAGCAACACUUGGCGUAUUCUUUGCAUGAUGGCUUCUUAUUCCGUGGCACAAGGCUUUGUAUCCCGGAGACCUCUCUAUGUGAUCACGUCAUCACGGAGAUCCACGGUGGAGGCUUGGCUGGACAUUUCAGUCGUGACAAGACUCUAGCUAUGGUUGAAGACCGGUUCUUCUGGCCAAUGAUGCGGAAGGAUGGGACUCGAAUCAUCAAGCUAUGCCGCACAUGUCAGCUAGCCAAGGGGACAAAGACCAACGCCGAACUCUACACACCCUUGCCAUUUUCGAACUCUCCUUGGGAAGAUCUUAGUAUGGACUUCAUACUAGGGCUAUCGAAGUCGUUACAUGGUCAUGACUUAAUCUUUGUUAUUGUGGAUCGGUUCUCAAAGAUGGCACACUUUGUACCUUGCUGCCAAAACUUAUGAUGCUGCUCAGGUGGUCUCCUUAUUUUUGAAAGAAGUGGUUCGUCUACAUGGACUAUCAAAGAUGAUAGUUUCAGUUCGAGAUGUCAAGUUUGUCAGUUAUUUUUAGAAAACAUUAUGGCCGAAAUUUGGUACUCGGUUGUCUUAUUCAAGUGCCUAUCAUCCUCAAACUGAUGGGCAAAUGGAGGUCGUGAAUCGAAGCCUAGGCAACUUACUUCGUUGUUUGGUUCGUGAUCACAUUACUUCAUCAGAUAUUAUUUUGCCUAAUGCUGAAUUUGCCUAUAACAGUCCAUUAACUGAACGAUUGGGCUAUCACCCUUUGAAGUUGUGUUGGGAAUGAAGCCACGACAGCCAAUUGACCUGGUUCCUUUACCCAUCAAUUUGCGAGUUAGUGAGAGUGGGGAAGACUUCUCGAAGCAUAUUCAGGAGUUACAUGCUGAAGUUUAUUGGCUACAAGUACUAAUUUUUACAAGCAGCAGGCUGGUGAAAGGAGGCGUUUGAUUGAAUUCAAGGAAGGUGAUCUUGUUCUAAUGAGGCUAAGGGCUGAACGGUUCUCUCGCAAAAGCUAUCAGAAGCUUCAUCCGCGAAGGACAUGACCAUUCAAAAUUCUGAAGUGUUUGGGAUCAAAGGCAUAUGUGCUAGAAUUACUCGAGGACCUUCAAGUCAGCCCUAUUGUCAAUGUAGAAGACUUGCAGCCAUAUGAAGGGCAUCAUUCUGAAAAUGAAGACACACCGCCAGUGCCUGCACUCCCUCGACGAUCUGCCCCAAAGACGAGAUUGAAGAUAUUUUGGAUGAUCAGCUAGUUUCAACACGUCGUGGAGGAUACUAGAAAUUUUUAGUGAAGUGGAAGAAUCGCCCUUUAUCUGAUUGUUCGUGGUUGAAGACAGAAGAGGUUCAAUGCCUGAACCCUGAUUUGUAUGAGCUCUACCAGUCAUGCAACUCGACGGAGUCGAGUUUUUUCUCAUCCGGGGAAAAUUGAUGGCAAUUGGGCGCGCGAGCCCAACCAGGGGCAUGGGUGAAGCCACAUUGAGUCUAGUUUUUUUUUUCUGCCGUGUAGCUAGAAGAGUCCUUGAUUGUUUUGUUUAGUUGUUUGCUUGUCCUUUUAUUUAAAAAUUCAGGUGUGCAUGAAGCUCAUUUAAAGCAUGCGUGAAGCCCACCAAAGUCAUGAGAGUCCUUCUGUUUUACUUUGUUUGUUUGACUCAUUCAAAGAUCGAGUGUUAGCGAGUCCUUGUAUAAAGGAGUUUGAUUUAUCUCAAACUCUUAAUCUCUAGCGGAUAAGAGCUGGUUGUUUGUGUUUGUUUCCAACCUCCUAUACUAUAAAAGGAGGGAUGAUGAAUAAAUCGGCAGAAUAGAGAUUUUUAGAGAGAAAAGUUUAGAAUUGGAUCAUUUUUUUGAAGUGCGACGUUUUCUUCCCUUGGUGAGGCGCCAAGUUAAAUAGAGAGGUUGAGUGAAGGUGGUACUCCUUCACCUGCUCUCACGCCAAGUUAUUUAAGAGUUUGAGUGAAGGUGGGACUCCACCCAUUCUCACGCCAUCUUAUUUGAGAGUCCUAGUGUAGGUAGGACUCCUUCCAUUUCCACGCCAUCCUUACUAUUUCCAUUCUCACGCCAUCCUUACUAUUUCCAUUCUCACGCCACAUAUUAGAGAGUUUGAGUGCCAUUAGGACUCUUCUUCUUAUAACCACGCCUCAUCUAGUUUAGUCAAGCCACAUCGAGUCUAAUUGCAACUCAUUCAACCUAUCUAUGCCACCCCCAAUCUACACUUGGCCACACCCAAUCUAGCCACAUCCUCACCCAAAUGAACAACGCUCUCCGCUCAUCCCUACCCAAGCAUAUCUGCCCCAAAGAGUGGAAAAAAGAGAGAGAAGUAGUCAUCGUCUUCUCCACCAUCAUCCUCCUACUUUCUGUCCCUUGCAUCACAAUACAUCCAUCAUGAUAUCAUAAUAGAAUAAAUAAGGCAGUGGAAUAUAAUCAGAGCAAUUAAAAUUCUAAAAAUAAUGAUUUAAAAAGUCCAAAACUAACAAGAAACUUUAAGAAUUUUUGUUCACAAUAAUCUAACAUUAAAUGUUCACUGAUAUGUUAAAUCAA
rnacentral:lncRNA from 1 species